rnacentral:rRNA from 1 species
UGAAUACGAGACGCUAAGGCGUCGAAGUAGUGUAUGUCAUACUUCCAAGAAAAGCUUGCACUGUCAUAGAUAAAAAACGCCUGUACCAUAACCGACACAGGUGGGUAGGUAGAGUAUACUAAGGGGCGCGAGAUAACUCUCUCUAAGGAACUCGGCAAAAUAACUCCGUAACUUCGGGAGAAGGAGUGCCUUAUUCGUAAGGUUGCAAUAACAAGAUCCAAGCAACUGUUUAUCAAAAACACAGGUCUCCGCUAAGUCGUAAGACGGUGUAUGGGGGCUGACGCCUGCCCAGUGCCAGAAGGUUAAAGAAGUUGGUUAGCAAUUGCGAAGCUGAUAACUGAAGCCCUGGUGAACGGCGGCCGUAACUAUAACGGUCCUAAGGUAGCGAAAUUCCUUGUCGGGUAAGUUCCGACCCGCACGAAAGGCGUAAUGAUUUGGAUACUGUCUCGGAGAGGGGCUCGGUGAAAUAGACUUGUCUGUGAAGAUGCGGACUACCUGCACCAGGACAGAAAGACCCUAUGAAGCUUUACUGUAACUUGAAAUCGAAAUUGGACUUUAUUCGCGCAGUAUAGGUGGGAGGCGUUGAUUAUAAUCUUGUGGGAUUAUUGGAGCCAUCAGUGAGAUACCACUCUUGUAAUGUUAGAUUUCUAACUUUGAAUCAUUAUCUGGUCAAAGAACAGUUUCAGGCGGGCAGUUUGACUGGGGCGGUCGCCUCCUAAACGGUAACGGAGGCGUACAAAGGUCUCCUCUGAACGGUUAGAAAUCGUAUCUAGAGUGUAAAGGCAUAAGGAAGCUUGACUGUGAGACCUACAAGUCGAGCAGGGACGAAAGUCGGUCUUAGUGAUCUGACGGUACUGAGUGGAAAGGCCGUCACUCAACGGAUAAAAGUUACUCUAGGAUAACAGGCUGAUCUCCCCCAAGAGUUCACAUCGACGGGGAGGUUUGGCACCUCGAUGUCGGCUCAUCGCAUCCUGGGGCGGUAGUACGUCCCAAGGGUUGGGCUGUUCGCCCAUGAAAGCGGUACGCGAGCUGGGUUCAGAACGUCGUGAGACAGUUCGGUCCAUAUCCGGUGUAGGCGUUAGAAUAUUGAGAGGAGCCUUCUUUAGUACGAGAGGACCGAGAAGGACAUACCUCUGGUGUACCAGUUAUCGUGCCAACGGUAAACGCUGGGUAGCUAUGUAUGGAGUGGAUAACCGCUGAAAGCAUCUAAGUGGGAAGCCCACCUCAAGAUAAG